rnacentral:rRNA from 1 species
UACGUAGGGUGCGAGCGUUGUCCGGAAUUAUUGGGCGUAAAGAGCUUGUAGGCGGUUUGUCGCGUCUGCCGUGAAAAUCCGAGGCUCAACCUCGGACUUGCGGUGGGUACGGGCAGACUAGAGUGUGGUAGGGGAGACUGGAAUUCCUGGUGUAGCGGUGAAAUGCGCAGAUAUCAGGAGGAACACCGAUGGCGAAGGCAGGUCUCUGGGCCACUACUGACGCUGAGGAGCGAAAGCGUGGGGAGCGAACAGG